UUUUUAUUCGUUUUUGUCCGUUCCAUCCAGACAAACAAAAAAUAUGCAUAGCAGACAUCACUGACAUGAUAUAUAUAUCACAGACAUCACAUACAUAUCACAAACAUCACAUAAGUCAUAGUAUAUCACAAUAAGUUCACAAGUAAUCCCAGUGCUCCAUCAUUCACCAUAAGAAGCGCAAAUAAAAGUACCAUUAACAACUACAAGUAUCAUCACGGA
rnacentral:lncRNA from 1 species